rnacentral:rRNA from 1 species
GACGAACGCUGGCGGCGUGCUUAACACAUGCAAGUCGAACGGAAAGGCCCUGCUUUUGUGGGGUGCUCGAGUGGCGAACGGGUGAGUAACACGUGAGUAACCUGCCCUUGACUUUGGGAUAACUUCAGGAAACUGGGGCUAAUACCGGAUAGGAGCUCCUGCUGCAUGGUGGGGGUUGGAAAGUUUCGGCGGUUGGGGAUGGACUCGCGGCUUAUCAGCCUGUUGGUGGGGUAGUGGCUUACCAAGGCUUUGACGGGUAGCCGGCCUGAGAGGGUGACCGGCCACAGUGGGACUGAGAUACGGCCCAGACUCCUACGGGAGGCAGCAGUGGGGAAUAUUGCACAAUGGGCGGAAGCCUGAUGCAGCAACGCCGCGUGCGGGAUGACGGCCUUCGGGUUGUAAACCGCUUUCGCCUGUGACGAAGCGUGAGUGACGGUAAUGGGUAAAGAAGCACCGGCUAACUACGUG